rnacentral:precursor_RNA from 1 species
CCUCCUCCUCCUCCUCCUCCAUCUCCUCCAUCUCACCAUCUGGAGGAGGAAGAGGAAGAGGAAGAGGA